GAUAAUUAUAGAUUAGAGUGGGAAGUCCAGUUCUGUCUCUUUCUUUCUUUUAAACAGGAGCAGGUUGGGCACAUUAUGCAGGAGUACAAUGAUGCUGUUCAGAGAGCUGAGAGGCUGGCUGUUGCCAGAGAAAACUUACUCACUGGAAAGAACAGUCCUGGGCACCUGGUAACACAGGAAGAUCUGGUUAUCUAUACCAAGUGGCUAGUAUGUCACCUACAUUCACUUAGAGACAUUCACAGCUACCUGAGGGUGUUACUGUACCUGCCCAGAUCUGAUAGGUUGGAAGUGGCUGUACAGGAACACCCUGAGGUGGGUCAAGAAAAUGGAGAUGUGUACACUAGACAUGUAGCCCCUGAGUCUCUGUCUGCUGACAACCAGAAUUCUGGCUAUCCAGCUUCUUCAGAAACCAGCACUUCAGGGUCAGUCAGAAAAGAAGCUACCACUAUUCUGCCCCACCAUAAAACAGAAGCCGUAGAACUGAAGCCUCAGCUAGGACUCCUUCUGCCUCAUUUCAACAUCUGCUACAACAUAGAGGAUCUAAAGAAUUCUGCUGAUGAGAUGGAGCUCUUUUCCCUGGUACUGGAAAAACUCUGUAUCUAAAAGAGAAGUGUGGAAGCAAGACUGGAGUCCAAGGAAGAGAAAGUGCUCCAAGAGAGUCCCCCCCACAGAGGGGUCCAAAGAGAGAGAGAGAGCUGUUUCCAUAGUCCUUAUAGACCACAGAAGGGGAGAUUCCUCCAACAAGGAGCCUUUCCCCACUGACACUGUCACUCCCAAUCAUCUUCAGCACAGCCCUAGUCAGUGGGAACCAGUCAGAAAUUUCCUGUGCCAUCCCAGCAAGAUGUAUGUCUCUUUGGAAGGGUCCAGAGCACAUGUCUAGCUCCUUGGGAGGUCCUCCAGCUCUAUAAAUUAGGGAUUUCCUUUAUCACUCCAUUAUACAGGGGAAAAAAUAUAUAUAGUUAAUUAAAAACAUUAAACAUCAGUGCAAACAACAAAAUUUAUUUAGCUGCUAUUUAAAUUUAAAUGAUUUUCAUGCAUAAAAUAUCAUAACAUUGUUCAUCAUUCCCUCUGAGUCUCCAUUUAGGAUUUUUAAGGAUUCCUGCUCUCACUACUUUUACUUGGUAUAGUAUGAGGAAAUUCUAUCAACUGUAAUGAGACAGGGGAAAUAUACGAACAAGAUUAACUUUAGAAAAAAAGAGGUCAAAAUAUCAUCUGCAGAUGACAUGAUGGUGUUACCUAGAAAAUCAAUCGCCUCAGCUCAAAGGCAUUUUAGAAUACAAUGUUUGCUAUUGUCCGAGAACCUGGUAAACCAAUGGUCACUUUUUCAAUCACCAAAUUUCUGACACUUCCUCUGGGACUCUCACCUCCCUUUCCCUGUCCAUUUUAAGUUGUUCAGAAGUUUCAGAGCAUAUUCUGUGAACAACAGAGAUGGAAAAUACUUCCAGCCUAUGAUGUCAAGGUGGCUAAAGUUGAAAACCGGAAUUUAUUAAAACCCAGCAUGGCUUUUAAAAAGACAGCCAACUGGAUUCCCUUCACAAAGGUAAAGAUAGCUACCUGCUUCUGGUCUUUUGUCUCUUUAUUGUGGGUUGUGGUAGGGCAACUG
ensembl:lncRNA